rnacentral:lncRNA from 1 species
UGGUUGACUGUGAGAGGACUUUGACCCGCGCUCCGUUUCCUGCUGGGCCAGACUUAGGAGGAGGUUUACGGACACAAUGCUGGAAAACCAGUUCCUGCUCUACCCACGCCUCAACUUGUUAAGAAGAAACAGUAUCUAACACCGAGGCACGUCACAUCUUCGCCAUUCCCACUUCCUUUCUGCCCUAGGCAUUCAAUGUAUGCCACCGGGGGCCAUCAGGACUAGGGCUCUGCAACCACGGCAGCAGACAGGUGUGAAGCUCAGAGUCCCUCCUAACAGCCUCCCUCCAGCGUCUUCUUGGCCGCGGCGGCGAAGCAGCUCCGCAGGGCCUCGAACUCCCGCGCGCAGAAGUCCUUACUCGGCCCCGCAGGCGGCCAGCCGCUCGGGGAAGGCGCGGAGGCAGCUUCGCAUGCGGCCCCACACCGCUCCGUCAGCCGACAUGAGCGGCUAUUCCCAGCGCCCCUCAUGUGUGUGUUUUCAAAAUGAGGUUUUGCUCUGUCACUGAGGCUGGAGUGCAGAGGUGCCAUCAUAGCCCAUUGCAACCUCCACCUCCUGGCCUUAAGCAGUCCUCCUGCCUCAGCCUCCCAAGUAGCUGGGACUACAAGUGUGUGCUUGUUUUUUCUUUUGUAGAGAUAGGGUCUUGCUAUGUUGUCCAGGCUGGUCUUGAAGCCCUGGGCUCAAGCAAUCCUUCCACCUUGGCCUCCCAAAGCACUGAGAUUAUAAGCAUGAGCCUCCAUACCCAGCCCAAGAACCCCCACUUUAUUGUGUGAUCAAUUGUUCCAGUUUGCCCAGGACUCUCAGUUUUAGCACUGGGACUCUCUCUUUUUUUUUUAGACGGAUUCUUGCUCUGUCGCCCAGGCUGGAGUGCAGUGGCGCGAUCUCAGCUCACUGCAACCUCCACCUCCCAGGUUCAUGCCAUUCUUCUGCCUCAGCCUCCCGAGCAGCUGGGACUACAGGUGCCCGCCACCACGCCCAGCUAAUUUUUUGUAUUUUUAGUAGAGACGGGGUUUCACUGUGUUAGCCAGGAUGGUCUCGAUCUCGUGACCUCGUGACCCACCCGCCUUGGCCUCCCAAAGUCCUGGGAUUACAGGCAUAAGCCACCGUGCCCGGCUUUUUUUUUUUCUUUUUUCUUUUUUUUUUUUUUUUUGAGACAAUCUCGCUCUGUCAUCCAGGCUGGAGUAAAGUGGCACAAUCUUGGCUCACUGCGACCUCUGUCUCCCGUGGUUCAAGCAAUCCUCC